CACUUGCUGUGAUGGGGUGUUGCAGUGAUUCUCCCCCUGUACAAUGAGACGUUGCACAUCUGUCUUAAUGUUCCUCUGGAUACCAUCUUAAAGCCUUGAUGGAGGGAAAAGAGACAAGAGAAGAUGUUCUGAUCUUCUGUAGUGACCUGGUGGCUUCACAGCAGAAGGUCAGGGCAGAUUUACCCUAACUUGCACCACUGGCUGAAUGAACCCAUUUGCCCUAGAACUGGAGGAAUGCUAGUGCAGCCUUAGUGUCAACAAGCUAUCAGCCUGUUCAGAGGUUUCAUUCUCUUUAGUUAUUUUUGACCCUGUCAACUAAGUAAGUUGUGAAGUAUUUCUACUCCAGGCCAGGAUUUGCACUCUGAAUACAUGUAAGCGACUGCACUGAGCAGGAAAUCUGGAUCCAACUCCUCGCACAAAAUAGUUUUGCUGACUGUGAGUGAGACCGAGAGGAUAUGUUUGGAAGUCAUUUAUUUGCAAAGAAAAGUUUUCUAAAUGCCUUGGGUCUAUGAACACUAUGCCAAAAUGUUCCUGUGACCAGAAUCUUCACAUGCCACCUAUUUCCAAAGGGAAAGUGAAAUCUCCAUGAGCAGCCUGCAUCAGGGACAGUAGCUCACUACUGCAAAAUGGGCCUGCACUUGUUUUUGACUUGCAGCCAACCUACUGAUGUCAGGUGUGGGAGCACCAGCUGGCUCACUUCAUCCAACGUCUGGGUUCAGACUACCCACACUGGCCAUCUUCAUGGUGGAGCUUUGGUGCAGGAGCCACACUUGAACUGCUUAAGACCUACAUGCGACUAAGAGCCACCUGCCCAUCAGCUAAGAUUUCAACCAUUAUUUUAUGUCUUUGAUCUCUCAUUUUCAUGGUGCCUUGUUUCUGUCUCCACUGCAGGUAUUUCAGUGCUGUAUACUGAAAAUGUGACUCAUACAGUUGCCAUUCCCCAGCCCUACCUGAUUACACUCCUCUGUGAUUUGCUCACUAGCUAUAUCUGAUAAACAACACACAACAGGAAGACAAGAGAAGCAUAGUUCCAAGGGACACUUCUGCCUCAGGAGAGUCCUGCUAGAAGGCAUGCUCCCUUGCUACACCUGGGCAGGCUCUCAUCCUUCUCCUGGCCUACUUGGAGAGGCGUCAGUACUAGGACAUUUCAUUCUGGAAUGCUACAGAAACAGCCUCCCACACAAUAAAGCACGCUCCACAGGUGGAAGGGUGAAGAGCUUUUCCUUUGGCCCACACAAGGAGACGAGAGCUGAUUACCAGUGCUAAAGCAACACAGGACUAGUCCAACUGUUAACAUCCAAGUGUGAUGUGAAUCACUUUAAUGGAGAAUGAUCCAGAUGGCAUGCGUGUAGCAGGAACAAAACUUCAUGUGCAAACUCUUCAGCAUGAGGUUAUGUUAACAACAUGUAUUUCAAGAAUUAUCCAGUGAUAAUAACCUAAAUGCUGAUUCCAAAAUUCUGAAUAACCCAGAGAAGAUCUGACACGGGAAGACCACAGGCUACCUGGCUGAGGGAGAGAGGCAGUCUGCAAGAAGCACAAAGUGAUGGCAAAGAAAAAAUUUGGCAAAUAGUCAGAAAAGAUCUUACUUGCAAAAAACCCCAGUCCUUUGGAUCAUGACAGCCAGGUCAUGACUGAUAUACAGACAGCUGCAAAAAGCCAUCUUAACAGCAGUCUAACCAACUAUGCAGACAGUGAUGUCACACCUGGGUAUGAGUUGGCACAGGAAGCCCAUAUCACUUGUGUACAAAAUAUGAUAAUGUAGAAGUAGUCAGCACAGUGCUGUGCUCCCAAAAUCUUGUAGAUGAGCUGCAUAGGAUAUUAUUGAGACAGAGCAUAGAGUCUAUUACCCCUGCAACUGCUGCUUUGAGCUGUUCCU